UGUUCUGUGGCCUAUUUGGUUAAAGUGCCGGACUUGCAAAUAUGGAGUCGUGGGUUCGAAUCCCACCAGACCGC
rnacentral:tRNA from 1 species